ACAUCAUCUACUAAAUUGAUUUCACACCCCACUAAUGGAUGGUGAGACACAGUUUGAAAAACUGUAUUCUUUCAGGACACUGAAUGGUCAGAACCCAAUGUGCUUUUAUUUAUUCAUUCAACAAAUAUUUGUGGCCAUGUAUAAUGUAUCAGGUGCUGUAUUUACUGUACUCCAUGCCAGGAAAGCAACAGAGAAGAAAACAUACCCAGUCCAGUCCCUGACCUCAUGUCAUUUACAAUCUUGGCUAAUCGAGUUCACAAAUAAAUAAUUCCAAAUCAUGAUGGGAGUGAAGCCAUAGAGGAUAAGAGCGCUCGGGGUAGGGUGAUCAGAGGUCUCUGAGGCAAUGAUCUGGAAGCUGCCACCUACAAGAUGAGGAGUUAGCAAGCUAGAGACAGCAGGAAUGAGCUCUCCGACGGAGGGCAUGAACAGCAAGUGCAAAGGCCCUUGGACUCGAAAGAGCAUGAAAGACUGAGGAAGCGGCCAGUGUGGCUCCAACACAGUGGAGGAGUUGGGGAAUCCUACUGAGAUAGAGGCCCUGCGCUGAAAUAAUUCUCAUCCUUCAAGGCCCAACUUCAGCCAAUGGCACUGACCUCCUGGACCUGCCAGGCAGAAGUGGUGGCUCCCUCUCAGCUGACCCCAGAGAACUUCUUUAGCUCCUGCUGAUCUCAGAGCACACACACUAAUCCACUCUGCCCACUCAGCAGUUUUUCUUGAUAGCCCUGGCAUGGCACCUAUGCUGGGGUCAGACCCUCAACCAGCCCUUCAGUGUUGAAAUGCACAACCUCAGCCCUCUAGCCUCAGCGGAGGAAGCAGGGCUCUUCAGUUUGGGAGAACCAUAUACAACCAGAAGGAGGGGCCAAAAUACCUGAAGCCCCCAGGAGCUGGCUCCUCCACAGCUCUCAGGAAUGACAGUAAACACAAACGGCCCUGCAUGUAUUCAGGCUAUGGCCGCCUUCCUCCUGGGCUGCACAUCAGGCUAACCAGCCCAGCCCUCAGCUUCACAGGGACUGGACCCUAGUCAAGGAAGCUGGUGACCCUGGAUCAGUUGCCUCCCCUGUCUGUGCCUAAAUCCCCCACCCCACUUCUGUCAAUUAGGAGGAUGAUGCCUUCUUCAGAGUGUUGUCAUAAAGAUUAAAUCCUUAUUAAAGUCU
rnacentral:antisense_RNA from 1 species